GCUCCCUUAGCCUUUGCCUUGGCCUUCUCUUGUCUCGCUACCCUUGUCACGGUCCACGGGUGCUUUCAGUUCCUCCUUGUGUCUAUUUUUAUGGCCUUUAAUUAAGACAGUUGUGGGAACUGUAUCUUUCGGCAGUUGAAAUGAGAUUUGAGAUCCAGAACUUAACAAACAAGUUUCUGUUUUGAUGUCAUUCUUUGUGCCAACACUGCAGUCAUCAAAGGAGCAAUAUAUCUGCAGUGGAUGAAGGAACUCAGCAACCUUCACUCAAGCUGUCCGGAGGCACUUGCAGACCUGUCUUAUAUGGAUGAUAUAUGAGUGCCCAUGCAUCUUAUCCUGUCAGAUAGGGAAGGCAAGUUGAACUUAAUCACACCCAGAGCUCCAGAAGUAUCAUAAAGCGUUGCUUUAAAAGUGGUCACAGCCAAAGCAUUUCUCAGCAUAAGCAGGAGGAGGUUGAGGAGAAGCAGCUGGUGCCAGCAACAGCAAAUAUGUCUUGGAAAUGUCGACAGAUACAUUGCUCCCUCCUACAUGGAACAACAGGAAAGCGAAGGCC